ACACUGCUGAGGAGUCCUACACUAGGACGAAACAGCCGUCCAGUAC
rnacentral:hammerhead_ribozyme from 1 species